rnacentral:rRNA from 1 species
CCCUUAGAUGUUCUGGGCUGCACGCGCGCUACACUGAACAGUUCAACAAGUCUUAACCUUGGCCGAUAGGUCUGGGUAAUCUUUGAACGCUGUUCGUGAUUGGGAUAGACCUUUGCAAUUAUGGGUCUUCAACGAGGAAUUCCUAGUAAACGCAAGUCAUCAGCUUGCAUUGAUUACGUCCCUGCCCUUUGUACACACCGCCCGUCGCACCUACCGAUUGAAUGGUCCGGUGAAAUCUCGGGACGGCGGCUUGGUCGCUUGCGUCCGACUGCUGAAACUUGAUUAAACCAUAUCAUUUAGAGGAAGGUGAAGUCGUANCA